GACGAACGCUGGCGGCGUGCUUAACACAUGCAAGUCGAACGGAAAGGCCCUGCUUUUGUGGGGUGCUCGAGUGGCGAACGGGUGAGUAACACGUGAGUAACCUGCCCUUGACUUUGGGAUAACUUCAGGAAACUGGGGCUAAUACCGGAUAGGAGCUCCUGCUGCAUGGUGGGGGUUGGAAAGUUUCGGCGGUUGGGGCUGGACUCGCGGCUUAUCAGCUUGUUGGUGGGGUAGGGGCUUACCAAGGCUUUGGCGGGUAGGCGGCCUGGGAGGGUGACCGGCCACAUUGGGACUGCGAUACGGCCCAGACUCCUACGGGAGGCAGCAGUGGGGAAUAUUGCACAAUGGGCGCACGCCUGAUGCAGCAACGCCGCGUGCGUGAUGACGGCCUUCGGGUUGUAAACCGCUUUCGCCUGUGACGAAGCGUGAGUGACGGUAAUGGGUAAAGAAGCACCGGCUAACUACGUG
rnacentral:rRNA from 1 species